CUUGCUUUAUUUUCAUCACAGCACAGAUUGCCAUCUGCAUCUCUCACAAUUAUUUAUCUACUUGUUUACAGCUGUCUCCUCCGACCAGAACAUCCGCUUUAGAGCCCAGGGACCUGUUCUCCUUGUUCAUGGGUGUGACCCAGCCCAGCACCUGGCACAUAACUAGUGCUCAACAAAUGCUUACUGUAAACAAUGAAUCCAGACCUGGAGGUGAGGCGGCUUAGGAAGGCUGGGCCAUGGAAGUGGCACACCCACUGGCAGGCAGCUGGAUCCAGGAGAUAAGCGGGCCUAAGGCUUCGACAGGCGAUAUGGGUUCGAGCCCUGGUCCAGGAAGAUCCCACAUGCCGCGGAGAAACUAAGUCCGUGUGCCACAACUACUGAGCCUGCAUUCUAGAGCCCUCGAGCCACAACUACUGAAGCCUGCCACAACUACUGAAGCCUGUGCACCUAGAGCCCAUGCUCCACAACAAGAGAAGCCACCGCAAUGAGAAGCCUGAGCACUGCAACGAAGAGUAGCCCCUACUCGCUGCAACUAGAGAAAGCCCAUGGGCAACAAGGAAGACCCAAUGCAGCCAAAAAUAAAUAAAUAAAUAAAUAAAUAAAUUUAUUUAUUUUUUUUAAAAAAAGAAGGGAAUGAGUUUAGAUGCUAGUGUUGCUACAAAUGCCUCCCUGGAGGAGACCUGAACCAGGUCUCAAAUGAACAUCUGGGGAACAUCUGUCCACUAUAUUUUUUAUUAGCAUUUAUGAUGGCCUUUUCACUUCAUGACAUCAUCAGUCAUAUCAUGUAUUUUCUUAGACAUUUUUCCUCUUUAAGUUUUUGUCUGGAAAACCACCCUGGCAAGACCUCAGUUUUCUGCCCAUCUCAUUUUUGUGUGUCCCUCAAAAUGGAGACAACUCCUUAAAGAUCACCACUCCCACUCCUUGCCUUCAUGGCAUGUGGUUAAAUAGUUUCUAAAAUGUUUAGAUUGGACUUCCCUUGUGGCGCAGUGGUUAAGAAUCCGCCUGCCAAUGCAGGCAAUAUGGGUUCGAGCCCUGGUCCAGGAAGAUCCCACAUGCCGUGGAGCAACAAAGCCCAUGCACCACAACUACUGAGCCUGCAGUCUAGAGCCCGUGAGCCACAACUACUGAGCCCGCAUGCCACAACUACUGAAGCCUGCGUGCCUAGAGCCCACGCUCCUCAACAAGAGGAGCCACCGCGAUGAGAAGCACACACACUGCAACAAAGAGUAGCCCCUGCUCACUGCAACUAGAGAAAGCCCGUGUGCAGCAACGAAGACCCAACGCAGCCAAAAAUAAAUAAAUGUAUUUUUUUAAAAAAGCACGGAGUGCAAAAAUAAAAUAAAAUAAAAUGUUCAGAUGAAUUACCACAUUCAAGGGCCAAGAAGGUUUCAGGAGUUUCAGAAGCGAAAUGUUUGUCUGAAACAAGCUGCUUUGGAUUAUGUUUACAUGACACAGGCACGUUCCUCCUGGCCUUCCAAGUUUCGCCCAGAAUCGUCCCCUCAGUCCUUUGCUUGGUGUCAUUACAAGUAACAAAUCAGAGUGUGAACAUUUUCAUUUUCUCUGUCUAUCUCCAAAAUGCCAUUCUGGGAUGGCCUGGUGGUGACUUAGGAAAUAAAUCUCAAGGCUCCGUGUAGCUGUCCUGUAGGUACUUGUCUUCCCCAUGGGCCAGAGAGCAUCCUUUGUGAUGUUCAUGUGAUGUUCAUGUUUAUAACUGUAGAGUUUAUUCUUUGGUUUAGGGCAUGAAAUGAUGAUCGGCUUACGCAGCUCCAGAGUUAAAGCAGAGAAGGUGGGGACACAGAUUUCUCAGGUCUUCAAUGAAACAGCUGAAGAUCAUUGUCCUAGCUUUUUGAUGAAGUGGAAAGAAUUUGGAAUGUGAAUCAGAGCAACUGGGCUUGAUCCCAGAGCCCUUCUUCUGUCCUUUGUUGCACAUGCACUUGCUGAAGCCCUUGGUGGUCGAGGCAUCCGGGAUGCCCAGGUGGGCGGCACCACUUUCAGUGGGGGACUGUGACUUGGGUCCAGGUUUUUAGCCUCCCUCAGCCUCCCUCUCCCCUUCUGUAAAUAGGCAAUGACACAGACCCCUCUCAGGGAGAAUGGGGAAAUGUAAGAAGUGGAAACAGCACAUGUGGCACUUACGUGGUCAAAAUAAAUCUUGCAGAGUCAGUG